AGCGAACGCUGGCGGCAGGCCUAACACAUGCAAGUCGAACGAACUCUUCGGAGUUAGUGGCGGACGGGUGAGUAACACGUGGGAACGUGCCUUUAGGUUCGGAAUAACUCAGGGAAACUUGUGCUAAUACCGAAUGUGCCCUUCGGGGGGAAGAUUUAUCGCCUUUAGAGCGGCCCGCGUCUGAUUAGCUAGUUGGUGAGGUAAAGGCUCACAAAGGCGACGAUCAGUAGCUGGUCUGAGAGGAUGAUCAGCCACAUUGGGACUGAGACACGGCCCAAACUCCUACGGGAGGCAGCAGUGGGGAAUCUUGCGCAAUGGGCGAAAGCCUGACGCAGCCAUGCCGCGUGAAUGAUGAAGGUCUUAGGAUUGUAAAAUUCUUUCACCGGGGACGAUAAUGACGGUACCCGGAGAAGAAGCCCCGGCUAACUUCGUGCCAGCCGCCGCGGUAAUAC
rnacentral:rRNA from 1 species